rnacentral:rRNA from 1 species
GACGAACGCUGGCGGCGUGCUUAACACAUGCAAGUCGAACGGUAAGGCCCCUUCGGGGGUACACGAGUGGCGAACGGGUGAGUAACACGUGGGUAAUCUGCCCUGCACUUCGGGAUAAGCCUGGGAAACUGGGUCUAAUACCGGAUAUGAGCUCCUGCCGCAUGGUGGGGGUUGGAAAGUUUUUCGGUGCAGGAUGAGUCCGCGGCCUAUCAGCUUGUUGGUGGGGUAAUGGCCUACCAAGGCGACGACGGGUAGCCGGCCUGAGAGGGUGAUCGGCCACACUGGGACUGAGACACGGCCCAGACUCCUACGGGAGGCAGCAGUGGGGAAUAUUGCACAAUGGGCGAAAGCCUGAUGCAGCGACGCCGCGUGGGGAUGACGGUCUUCGGAUUGUAAAGCCCUGUCUUAUGGGAAGAAGAAAGUGACGGUACCAUAGGAGGAAGCCACGGCUAACUACGUGCCAGCAGCCGCUAAGCUGUAGUCGU